rnacentral:rRNA from 1 species
CCUGGUUGAUCCUGCCAGUAGUCAUAUGCUUGUCUCAAAGAUUAAGCCAUGCAUGUCCAAGUACAAGCCUCACUAAGGUGAAACCGCGAAUGGCUCAUUAAAUCACACCUAAUCUACUGGAUAGUUAACAGGUACUUGGAUACCUGCGGUAAUUCUGGAGCUAAUACAUGCGAAAAGCCUCGAACUUACGUGAGAGGCGCUUUUAUUAGAUCAAAACCAAUCGGCUUCGGCUGUACUCUUGGUGACUCUGAAUAACUUUGGGCUGAUCGUAUAGCCUUGCGCUGACGACAUAUCCUUCGAAGGUGUGCCCUAUCAACUGUCGACUGUGGCAUAGACGCCCACAGUGGUUUUGACGGGUAACGGGGAAUCAGGGUUCGAUUCCGGAGAGGGAGCCUUAAAAACGGCUACCACAUCUAAGGAAGGCAGCAGGCACGCAAAUUACCCAAUGAUCGAAGAUCGAGGUAGUGACGAAAAAUAACGAUCCAGGACUCAUCCGAGGCCCUGGAAUCGGAAUGAGUACACUUUAAAACCGUCCCCGAGGAUCUAUUGGAGGGCAAGUCUGGUGCCAGCAGCCGCGGUAAUUCCAGCUCCAAUAGCGUAUAUUAAAGUUGUUGUGGUUAAAAAGCUCGUAGUUGGAUCUCGGCGGACUGAGGGCGGUUUGCUUGCUAGUAUUACUGCCCUAUAGUCCGUAGUUUUGCCAGAGGUUUCGAGGUGCUCUUAAUCGAGUGUCCCGGGAUGCUGGCAGGUUUACUUUGAAAAAAUUAGAGUGCUCAAAGCAGGCUAUUACGCCUGAAUAUUCGUGCAUGGAAUAAUAGAAUAGGAAGUCGUUUCUAUUUUGUUGGUUUUCGGAAAUCGACUUAAUGAUUAAUAGGGACAGUCGGGGGCAUUUGUAUUCAAACGACAGAGGUGAAAUUCUUGGACCGUUUGAAGACAAACUACUGCGAAAGCAUUUGCCAAGAAUGUUUUCAUUAAUCAAGAACGAAAGUUAAAGGUUCGAAGGCGAUUAGAUACCGCCCUAGUUUUAACCAUAAACGAUGCCAGCUAGCGAUCUGCGGACGUUUUUUUUGUAGACUCCGCAGGAAGCUUCCGGGAAACCAAAGCAUUUGGGUUCCAGGGGAAGUAUGGUUGCAAAGCUGAAACUUAAAGGAAUUGACGGAAGGGCACCACCAGGAGUGGAGCCUGCGGC